CCGUGUAUAUGUAUAUUUACAAAUUUUGAAACACAAAAGGGGACGCCCUUCCAGAGUGCAUCAGUACAGUGAAAACAUCAAAACUUUUCUUUAUCCAAACGUGUAUAAAAUUACAUGGUUUUUCAGAGUAAAAAAGAAAAUUGCUUAAAUACAGGAAAAAAAUAUCUAGAAUAAUGUAGGAAGUUAGAAAUGAUAUUAACCAGAGCAAAAAAUGAACAAAAACGACAAAACACAAAAACACUUUUUUGAAGGGAAACACUGCUUUUUCCACUUUUGGUAUAUUUAACUUUAGGAAGAUACAAAAUAUGUUUACGUUCUAGCAAAGUUCUUGGCUUUUACCUUGUGGUUCUGAUGAAAAUAUUAAGCCACUAGCUUUUGCCAUUUGAGGGCUGCACAAUGCCAGUAGUUGCCAGACACAGUUAAAACAUUAGUAUUUCUUUUUUUUAGUUUUAGGCAUUUUUCCUUUUUUUUAUCUCUUUCGCAAUGUUUGAACGAUAAGUUACCUAAACAUAACAAGACAUCUGUUAAUCAAACAAAUCUAAAUAGCCAUCGAAACUAAGAAUCAGAAUUCAAAGAGAAAACUACACAUACAACCUUGUACUUUUCAGUGUGUUCUGUACAAAAUCCACAGUAUAGAUACGCUGGGUCAGAUUUUAUUUUGAGAAAAAGGCUUAACAAUGGUAACUGAAUACAGGUUCUCCAAUUGUUUUCUAGUGGAAAUACUCACGUAACUACCAGAGAUAUGCUUAUCACGUACAAUAGACUCUAGCACUUAGAGGCAAAUCUUUCUCUGGUUUAUCAACCGUUUGAGACAGUUUAUAUAUACAAUCUUGAGAUUAUUGAAUAGGAAGGACAAUUUUGUUCAAUUUUUGAGUAAAUACCAAUAUGGUAAAUCUGAACGGUAUUGCUCUUAUUUCUCUUGAAGAUGAUCUUAUGCUAUGGUGAGGGUUUGGCCAUAUUAUCUUUAAGCCAAAGGGCAGGACACAUGGUGAGGACGGCAAGGUAGAAGUUGUGCUAGGACAAUGCAUGGUGCACUGCAUCACAUAAUAGCACACUGGAGUAUGUGGACAGCAAUUCAAAAGUUGGAGCCAUAAGUGUUUAUCAAGAGAAAAAUGAGAUUGACAGACUCUGCAAAGACCAUGUGUAGUACAUGUAAGUUUAUAUUAUAGGACACAUGUAGGGAAGAGGAGGGGAGGAUGGCAGAAACGUUGAGCAGAAAAAUUGAAGGAGGACCUUAAAAACGCAGAGAAAAGCUGAUAGGAUAUAACAGGUUUUUGCACUUAUUUUGAGUUAAAUUCCCUAUUCUCAACACAGCACUUUAUAUAAAACAAAUAAUCUGCCAUAUUGCUCCUUGCACCCUUAAUCAAGGCCGAAUAUUCUAUACGUCAUGUUGGAUACUGAAUAGACUUUAAAUCUUACUCAACCAUGGCUUCCUCGGAAAAGCCACAAUACCCCUCUGAUUUACCAGAACUCCAAACAUUAAUUAGAGAUAAUUAGCUAAUCUUGAAAUGGCAUGGGUGCUCUUAAUUUUAGCUGUUUUUCCGACAGGGCCAAAGGCAUAUUAAUUUGGACAAAUGGAAAGAGAAGCUCUGCGUGGUCCAACGUUAGUCUGGUAACCAAUGAUUUACAUGCUGGGGAGAAAAUAACUGAAAUGUUCAUACAAUAAAAUGGAAAUUCUGUUCCACAGCUCUCUUCAGAUACAUUGUACUUAAGGGUGCAAAAUAAUUUCUACCUUCUCAGCGGGCACAUAGACACAGUGUUUUUCACUAAUAAAAUGCUUUAGUAUUUGCAAUGUAAAAAAAUGAGCAAAACAUGGAACUUCAAAAAAAUAAAUAAAAUGCAGAAGAACAAAAUGUGGAUGUGAAUGUAUGUAUAUAAAUUGUGUUUUAGGAUAUGUGCAGAAUAAUAGAACAGUAGAACAGCUUGGAAAUUUAACUGGUCACGCCACAUGGUUUCGUGGGAUUAAAGAGACGCAUAGGUAAAAAUAAAACUGACUUUUUAUGGACAUUUUGCAACACUUGUAUGUACUGCAAAGUGAAUGGCAUUUGUUUAAAAGACUUAGGAGCAAAUUCUCCUCUUCUUAAGAUAACAGAAAGCACAGGUCACUGGUUGCAGGUAUAUUAUAUGCAAAUAAUAUAGCUAGUUAAUUGGAUAAAAACAUUGAUUUAAUGAUUUAGCAGUUUUUAUAAACUGAUUUUUAGUGCAGUGAAUGUAUUUUAAGACUGGAUUUUCACUAUAUAUUUUGGUAUGACAAGCCAUAGUGAAUAUAAAGAAAUUAUGCUAAUAAACAAACACAUUAAUAAUCUUUGGGAAGCUAUUUAACGUUUUGUCUGGCUCUGAACCAGUUAGAACCAAAUAUCUUUAAACAAUUGGCAUGUUUAUUUCCUAAACAUUAGAUUUAUUUUAGAUUUUUCUCUGUGUUUGUUUAUUGAAAGAUGCGUACAUUUUAAUUUGCGAUCUGCAGAAUCACAGCAUAAAAUAUAAGUCAUCAGCGCAAGAGAGGUGGCAUGUGAAAUUUGUUUGGAAUAUGGCCAUAUCUUCAGAUUAUCAUUUUAUUACACAUUUUUAUGAAACCGUUCAAACGCUAUGUGGUUUUCUCACCAUUUCGAGAUUUUCAAUGAGAAUUUACACAGACUGGCCUCGUUCUAACGCAAUAUACAAAUCAGAAAAUAGAGUUACAAAAAUAUACUUCAUUAAAUGAAGCCCCCAGCCAGAAAAGUUUAGACCUUAGCAUAGCACUCAUUACAAGAUUAUAAGAGCAGAUACAUUGAAGUAUUUCAUUAUUUGUUGUAGCAACUGAUGUCCAUUUCUAGUACUCACAGAGUUAGGCUAUUUGAGGCGUCAUCGGUAUAUCCUUACACAAACAUACAGUGUAUAUUGAGAUGAUCAACUUAUUUCAAUAUGAUCAAUCUAGCAACUUAAAAUUGAG